rnacentral:rRNA from 1 species
GUUCGGACUGUAGUCUGCAACCCGACUACACGAAGCUGGAAUCGCUAGUAAUCGCGAAUCAGAAUGUCGCGGUGAAUACGUUCCCGGGUCUUGUACACACCGCCCGUCACACCAUGGGAGUCGGGAAUGCCCGAAGUCAGUGACCCAACCUAUAGGAGGGAGCUGCCGAAGGCAGGUCUGAUAACUGGGGUGAAGUCGUAACAAGGUAAC